AACGAGGCCGACCUGCGGCUGAGUUACCUGCGGAAGGAUCAUUACAAGUGACCCCGGUCUAACCACCGGGAUGUUCAUAACCCUUUGUUGUCCGACUCUGUUGCCUCCGGGGCGACCCCGCCUUCGGGCGGGGGCUCCGGGUGGACACUUCAAACUCUUGCGUAACUUUGCAGUCUGAGUAAACUUAAUUAAUAAAUUAAAACUUUCAACAACGGAUCU
rnacentral:misc_RNA from 1 species